UUCUAUGGCGGUUCAGGCGGGGGAGGCUUCGGCCUCGCCGGAUUGGUUGAUCUCCGGUACCUGAGAAUCCCUGUCUGAACCACCACCAUC
rnacentral:antisense_RNA from 1 species